GUAGGGAAUAUUGGGCAAUGGAUGCAAGUCUGACCCAGCCAUCCCGCGUGCCGGAAGAAGGCCCUCAGGGUUGUAAACGGCUUUUGACGGUGAAGAAUCGACAGGAUGCGUCCUGUUUUGACGGUAGCCGUUGAAUAAGCACCGGCUAACUCCGUGCCAGCAGCCGCGGUAAGACGGAGGGUGCGAGCGUUGUCCGGAUUUAUUGGGUUUAAAGGGUGCGUAGGCUGGAAGGUCAGUCAGCGGUGAAAAGCUGUCGCUUAACGAUAGUCUUGCCGCAGAUACUUCCUUUCUUGGAUGAGGAGGAGGCCACUGGAACGGAUGGUGUAGCGGUGAAAUGCAUAGAUAUCAUCCAGAACACCGAUUGCGAAGGCAGGUGGCUGUACCUUAAUCGACGCUGAUGCACGAAAGCAUGGGGAGCAAACAGGAUUAGAUACCCGGGUAGUCC
rnacentral:rRNA from 1 species